rnacentral:rRNA from 1 species
UUGAACGCUGGCGGAAUGCUUUACACAUGCAAGUCGAGCGGCAGCGCGGGGGCAACCCUGGCGGCGAGCGGCGAACGGGUGAGUAAUACAUCGGAACGUACCCAGUUGUGGGGGAUAGCCCGGCGAAAGCCGGAUUAAUACCGCAUACGCCCUGAGGGGGAAAGCGGGGGACCUUCGGGCCUCGCGCGAUUGGAGCGGCUGAUGUCGGAUUAGCUAGUUGGUGGGGUAAAGGCCUACCAAGGCGACGAUCCGUAGCUGGUCUGAGAGGAUGAUCAGCCACACUGGGACUGAGACACGGCCCAGACUCCUACGGGAGGCAGCAGUGGGGAAUUUUGGACAAUGGGCGCAAGCCUGAUCCAGCCAUUCCGCGUGAGUGAAGAAGGUCUUCGGGUUGUAAAGCUCUUUCAGCCGGAACGAAACGGUACGCUCUAACAUAGCGUGCUAAUGACGGUACCGGCAGAAGAAGCACCGGCUAACUACGU